UAUAAAUAUAUAGCUAUAUACAUUCUUCAUGUUUUACUUAAUAUUGUUUGACUUUAAUAGAUAUGUAUAUAUAUAUAUAUAAGCCCCAGAGAACUAAUGCUGGCCUGGGUGAAAAGCUGAUAAAAAAAAAAAGGAAAAAAUUUUACUAGCUGCAAGUGUUUACUCUACUUUUUAAUUUGAAUGAUGAUUGCAACAGCAUUAGCAUUAUGUAGUAAAAUGAUUAGCACUUUUAUGUAAUCUGUGAUUACUUUUCCUCUAAAGAUUCAGCCCCCUGCAUUUGUCCUUGGGCAUUGUCUUUACACCAAAAAAAGCUGAGGAAAAGCUUCUCUCUUUGUUUCAUUAAUUCCCUUUUACAAGGAUAUGCCACAUGCCACAACAACAACCAUAACAUUCUCUUUCCCCCUUUUUCCUUUUUUUUUUUUUUGUUUUGUUUUUGACUGGUGAUAGGAGAUUCCACAACCCAAGGACAACAACAAGAAGAACCAUAACAUUCAAACUUCACUUAAUUGUUAUAGCUUAUGUAUUUGGGUAUGUUUCUACUGAGUACUUGAAGAAUACUCGUUAAGAUCUAUUAAAUAUAAUUAUUAAGAUAAUUCAAAAGGCAUGAGUAAGUGUAUCUCCUCACACCAAUUCAUGAGAUAGUUAUUACUCUCAUACCCUAGUUAAUGUCUAAAUGAGUUUUCCUCAAGGCACUCAUUAGGGGGAAAAAAAUCUAUGAAUUUUGCCUUUUGAAAUUUCCCUUUAUUUAGAAAAAAAAAAGAAAUAUGGCAAAAAAAUUUCUUGUUGUAGUUAAAUUGUGAUGGAAAGUAGGACCCUUCUUUUGUUUUUUUUUUUUGGUAACCAUGCAUGGAGAUUGUCAAAACUAUAUAAGUCAUUUUCAAAUAGGCAUUGAAGUUUUUAAAAAAUUGUAUUAUGAUGUUGAACAUUUUUAAAUUCUAAUUUACUAUUUUACUACUGCUACAAAAAAAUUAUUAUUGAGCAAUUCUUCCUCUACAACUACCUUUGAUUGUAAUACUACAACACCCUCAUCCAAAGGCCAUAAAUUUUACACUAGUCUUAAUUACCAAUCUAUUUUUUAUUUUAUUUUUUUAAUACUGAAAGCAUACAAAGAGUUGACUAAGCCCGAAAUGAGUUGUAGACCAAGUAUCUCUCAUUAUUAUUUGCACCAAGUGCAUGUUUCUCAACACCUGGGGGCCACGUUAUCAUCUGAUAUCUAUUUCGUUUCAUACUUCAAUAUCUACUCCUCAUCUUGCUGCACCUUUUCUCUAUGUAAGUUUUGGAAGGUUUGAUACAAAGUACAGAAUGAGAUUGAGGGAAGACAAUAUUGUGCAGUACAGAUGUGUGCAAAUGCAUUGAGUUGUCGCAAAUAUUUUGCAUUAUUACGGGAUAUAGGUACAUAGCGAAAUCAAAAUUUCAUGAAGGUUAGGUACUGAAAUUCAAACUUUCAAAACUAAGGUACACUUGUUUCAAACGGUGUAUAUUAAGAUCAGUUUACUUACCUCCUUAAAUAUUAUUAUCAUUAUUUUAAGAUCUUGUGGCCUAGGUUUAAUCUUAGAUUCUCUUCUUUUUUUUUUCUUUUUUUUUUUUUGGUGGGUGUUCUGAUCACUCUGGCUACAUAUAUAUUAAUUUUUCAGGUAUCCAAGUGAUGCAGAUAAGCAUUUCCUGGCAAGGCAGACCGGCUUAUCCAGAAAUCAGGUGUGUCCUCUUCUCCCCACCACUCCUAUUAAAAAAAAAAACAAAACAAAACAAAACAAAAAAGCAAAAAGAUAUAAAAAAAAAAACUCUUUAUAUAUAUAUUUUUUUAUAUUAAUUGUUGCCUAAAAGUGUAGCUCUGCAUGGAAUUUUUAAUUUGCUUCCUAUCCCAGUAUUGUUUCAUCACCACCUCUCCUACUUUUUUUGCCUGAAAUUAAAUGCACAUGAUCUUCAACUGCACCCAAUACAACAGUAGUUAAUGUAGUGUGUUGGUGUGUUAAUUACAACCUAGACAUGGAGAUCUCACUUGUUUGAAUCAUUUAAUUCCUUACUUUGAUCAUCUUUACUUCCUACUGGAGUUUUAAUUGCUCUCUAUUUUUUUCUUCAUCUUUCCAUCUGCACAAAUAAAUCUAUUGUAGUUCAUGUUUUCAUUUGCAUCAGGCAUCAUUACACUAUACUAUACUGUAUUUUACAGCUUUUCUUCACUUUUCAAAUGCGCCACUAAACUAAACAAUUUUUUUUUUCCCAUGCCAACAUUAUAAACAAUAAAUCUAUAAUUUUGUAUAAAAGCUAUUAAAAAAUUUUGGUUAAAAAUAACAGAACACAUAUUUAGCUCAAUUUGACAUAAAAAAUAAUAAAAUAUAUAAAAAUAAUAAAAAAUAAUUGAAAAUAAGUUGAUGGAAAGUUUUCAAUGGGUCUAUUAUUGAAAUUCAUUUUAUAUUUUUUAAAUUAUACAACCAAUGCCUCUUAAUAUAGUUGUUAGAUUUUUUGUAAAGCAAUAUAUUUGUUAACAGUAAUAUAGAUAUUGGGGAGAAACAAAGUAGCUUAGUGAUAUAAUAGUACAAUGGUAUUUUUGAAAAAAAAAAAAGUAAAAUAUACCAAAUAAAACUAACACUAAAGUACAAUGCAGUAGAGUGUAAUUAAGCCUUUACAUUAUUUCAUUCCCCCUUCUUAAUUUGAACAAGUAGCUAGUCCAAAACCAAUAAUAAUAAUAAUAAUUAAGAAUUAACCAAAGAGAAAAAGAGAAUUAAAAGACAAGUUGUGUAGUGCAUGCUUAUUUCUUUUUUAUAUAUUUUUCCCUCCUCUUUCAUUAAUUGUUUUCAUCUCAAGUACUUUUGCGUUUCUCCUAGGAGCAUAUUUGUGCAAGCAUGCAGUAGAGGUCGUGGUUUAUGGAAAAAGAGUUUACUAUUAUUAUUACUAUUAUUUUUUUAUUUUUUUUUAUUUUCUAUGCACUUUGACUGGAGGAGUUUGCCCUUUCUUAUAGACCAGCAUCACGACACCCAGCAUUGAAUUGCAUCGUUACAAUUGUUGCAUGCAGUGCAUGUCCCAUCUCUCUCUCUCUCUCUCUCUCUCUCUCUCUCUCUCUCUCUCUCUCUCUCUCNCUCUCUCUCUCUCUCUCUCUCUCUCUCUCUCUCUCUCUCUCUCUCUCUCUCUCCCUCCUCAUGUCGCAUUGUUUACGAUGCAUGAAUUGCAUGGUACUUUUACCACAUUUAACGCGCGCGUAUAGACAACAAACCAACGUUAAUUGACCACUCCACGUACCAAAGAAAUGAGCCCACAACACCUGCACCACUCUUGUUUUUUCAUCUUUUUAAAAUGUUCUUAUUAUUUUACUUUUAAUUUAUUUUUUUGGUUGUUGCAGGUGUCCAAUUGGUUCAUCAAUGCAAGAGUCCGGCUAUGGAAGCCCAUGGUGGAGGAGAUGUACCAGCAAGAAGCCAAGGACCAUGACGACGACGACGAAGACGACGAAGCCGCCGCUGCCGCCGCCGCCGCCGAUGCAGCAUCGUCGCUUUCCCCCCCCUCCUCCUCCGGCGUAGGCGGUGCGCCUCCAAAAUCCGAACCGCACCCUGGCGGGCCCCCCGCCCCCGGCCCGCAGAACGCGCCGCAGGCGCCCCCGCAGCUGUCGACAUCCUCCGCCGUCGCGGACAUGGCGCACGCGGGAUUGUACAGCGGCCGGUAUGCUGCGGCGGCGGCGGCGACGCACGCUUUGAGAUUCGGGGCGGCGGGCGACGUGUCGCUGACGCUGGGGCUGCGGCACGGGGCGGCGGGCAGUGGAGGGAGCGGCGCAGGGGUCGGCGGCAGCGAUGGCGGCGGCGGAGGCCGAUUCGGAGCCGUUAGAGAAUUUGGCGGUUGAUUGGCAGUUAAGUUAGUUAGUUAGUUCGUUAGUUAGGGUUUUUUACUGGGAGGUGAUGGGGGGGAACAUUAAUAGUUACUUAGCUAAUUAUUAGGGUUUCAGAUCAUGAUCAUAGUGACACUAGCUAGGAUUUAUGGUACAGGUAAAUUUAAAAAGAAAAAAGAAAAAAAAAGAAAAAAAAAGAGGAGGAUUAAUUAAGAAAGAAAUUGAUGACAGAGAUGAAAUAUUUUGUCUUUUAAUUUUAACAAUUUUAAAUUUUUAUAGCCUUUUGUUAGAGGUACAAUUUUAAUUUGUAGUGGGUAUGACUAUAUAUAUAUAUAUAUAUAGAUAAAAUAUAUAUUUGCAGGGAAUUAAUUAGUUGUUAAGAAACAUACAAGUGUUCUACGCACACUCUCUCUCUCUCUCUCUCUCUCUCUCUCUCUCUCUCUCUCUCUCUCUCUCUCCUCGUACGGACAAAUUAAGGGUUACAAAAACUAAGGAAAGAGCUUUGCACCUCUUUCUCUCUCUUUCNGGAUAUAUAUAUAUAUUUUGAAGUAAUUAAUUUAGCAUGAGUAUCAUCAUCCAUCGACCUGAUUAAUUGAUUGCUGAUCACUGUUUUGAUAUUGCUGCUGUUUUUUUGUUUGUUUUUAAUAUAUAUUUUUUUGCUAAAUAAAUUCUGUAUAUAUAUAUAUAACAAUUUUAUUUUAAAAAAAUUAUAAAAAAAUAAUUUUCUCCCAAAAAAUGAUUAAUUGUCUUACAUAAUUUAAUAUGAUAUAAGAAUAAGAUUUCUUAAGUUUUAGUCACUACAACAGAAUUAGGUUAUAGGGACACAUGUUUGGGACACUUUUGAGUAAGUGUCCCAUUUAUGCUAAAACUUAAAAACACAUCUACUAAUGCCUAAAUAUAAAGUCCAAUCCAAUCAAAAAUAAAAGAUUACUCUACUCAACCCACCAUACCUAGUCCAUUUGGCCCGAUUACAAACAGAAAAGAAAAAAAAAAAGAAAAAUCAAUUACCAUCUCUUCUUCUCUCUUCACUCAAUCUACUGAAAUUCUAGACGAAGAGUCUUUACUGUCGUCCUUCUCCGCCACCGCAGCCAAUGAGAUAGAGUUUCGGCAGUUGCUAAAUGCUUAAAUAAGUGUUGGUAAAUUAGCAGCACUCUUUUAGGUUAUAGCGACACUCUUUAACUGUCACUAUAUACCCAGCGACCCCACAUAUAGCAACACUUUUUAAAAGUGUCGGUAAUUUUAGCUAACAGCACUAUUUUGAUAUGUACCUACAUUUAAAAGUGUCGCUAUAGACCGUUUUUGUUGUAGUGAGUUCUGCUAUGCUUCUAAUAUUAUUAUUAUUUUUUUAUUUAAUUCAAGUCCAUUUCUUAGGCUAGACACGAGGGGUUCGUGAAUGUAAUUAAGAUUUAAAAUUAUCAUUUUCUCGCAGCUUAAACUAUUGAUGAACAACGGAUGGCAAGGAGAUUAAGUUUGAUUAUAUAUAAUUAAACUACCUAAAGGGACCCUUUGCGAGGAAGCUAAAUCUAUUUCAUGUAGAAAAUUUAUGCAUAUAACAAGUUUAUCUUUCAAUACAAACUACAAUUAUUUCUACUAAUAACCAAUGUUUUAAAAACCGGUUACUUUGAGCCGACUGUUAAUUUUGACCUAUUCGAUCUUGAUCCAGUUAAUAAAAUAGUUCACUUCAAUGUUUCGACCCGGAUAAGCCAAAAACCCAUUUUGAACUGUUUGAAUCGGCAGUUCAACCAGCGAAUUAACCAAUCUGGCUCCAAACAAGCUUGCUGGUUUUUUUUUUAUUUUUUUUUCAUUAGAGUAAUUUUUAAUUUAAAUAUGAUUGAUUUUUAUUUUUGUUGAUUUUAUUUUCUAUUGUGACAAGUGCAACUUGAAAUUUUGUAUCUCCUAAAUUUAGUCUAAAAAUCAGAAUUUUAAAGUAAAUAUGAUACUUGAAUAAUAAUAUAAAGAUAUUUUUUAUACAAUAAAAUUUAAAAAUAAUUAAAUAUUUAUAACAUUAUUUUGAUAUGAAUUACUGGUGGAACCAAUAAUCAUUAAUAACCAAGUAAGAUUAAUUUUUGUUGUUGUUGUUGUUGUUGUUGUUUUUUUUUUUUUCCUCUCAGUUUUGGGCCUUUAGGGAUCAAUCAGCAACACACAUGGCAUAUGUUAAUUGGGGGAAGCUGGAGCUGAUGAUUGAGGAAUUAAUGCCAGAAAUGGUGGUUGAUUGCUGAAGGAAAAAUUACAGGGGAAUGUGAUUGAUUGCAAGUCAAUUAAUGGCACACCAAAUGGGCUGUGUAUCACUGUCCCAUAGCUAACUUUUUAUGCUGUUUCAUUAGGGGACCAUUGACAUUUCUCUCUCUCUCUCUCUCUCUCUCUCUCUCUCUCUAUAUAUAUAUAUAUUGGAGUUUCGUUACUAUAUUGUACUUUUACGAGUACGAUUGUCUUAAUGCUUGUAAGUUAUUUUUUAUGAUAGAAUUUUUGAAUCGAUAAUUCCUAUCGUUAAAUAUAUAUAUAUAUAUAUAUAUAUAUAUAUAUAUAUAUAUAUAUUGAUGUUCACAAAAUUCACAUUGAUUUUCUCUUAUUUUGAUCUUUUCUAAAAAAGUUGUUGUGUACUAGUAAAAUAUAUAUAUAGAGAGAGAGAGAGCUAGGCUGGUAUACUAUCGGUAGUAUGGAGACCUCCGUGCUGCGAAAUUAUUUUCAAUUAUGCGGCUAGCAAAUCGACGAUCGGCUCCAUUAGAUUUGAUCUACAUUAUUGAAAGUAUUUGGAAACUAAAUUUAUAAUUUUUCGAUAUCAUUUGGCUAGUGAUCAAAAGGUCUCAAAAUUGACAAUUUUAAUGGUAGAUGUAAUACGUUUGUGGGUUUAACGGUGUAAAACAAUCUAAAUCUGAUGAACCUUUUAUAGAAAUUUAUUUUUACUAUUUAGAGUAAGAUCGAUACCUCUGAUCUUAAAUUCAAGUUUUUUAUUAUUAUUUUUUAUGAGAUUUUUAUUUUCAGCUCUUCAUUUUUAAACUACUUGUUUGAUAUAUAAAUGAUACCGAAAAAUUAUGAAAUUUAGUUUUCAAAUAUUUUCAAUAGUGUAGAUCAAGUCUAACGGAGCCGAUCGUCGAUUUGGAAGCCGCAUCAUUGAAAACAAUUUGGUAACACGGAGGCCUCCGUGCUACCGAUAGUAUAUCAGCCUAGCUCUCUCUCUCUCUCUCUCUCUCUCUCUCUCUCUCUCUCUCUCUCUCUCUCGUAAAAAACAAAUAAAAAAAGAAAAAGGGCAUGUUAAUACUGGUUUCUUUUGUUUUUCUUAAUUAGGAUUUUGUUAAUUUGUUUUGCAGCAAAAUUACAAUUUGGAGAUAAAGGGACUUGGUGAGAACAUGUUUGACUAGAGUAAUUUUAAAAGGUAUUUUCUUUUAGAAAAGUACUUUAAUUAGUUAUUCUUUUUAGUUAAUUAGUUAGGGGAUCAAUAGCAGAUUAAAGAAUUGAAGCACAUAAAAAGGAAUUCAACUAAUAUCUCUAUGGUCUUGUUUGGAUGCAUGACCAUCUUGUUCCGCACAUAUCUUUAAUUUACUUAGAAAGUUUGCUGUAUUUUUUAGAUGAGGAGUGCAAUAUUCCACUGUGCAGAUUGUUAUACCGUAUUCGGAUUUCAAUUUAUUAUCUCUAAUUGUCAGCGAAAUAUAUAUGAUAUCCUACCAAAUCAUAAAUCCCAAGGCCUUUCGUUAACGAGCAACAAUUAAACUACUCACUUUCAGUCACACCAAAAAAGUUUCAUAUCGAGUAAUUGUUUUAUUGAAUAUAAGUAAGUUAUUCUUGUAUAAUAUAAAAAUGCCAUAUUCAGUCUAAGAUAACAUACCAUAUAUAUUCAAUCUCCACAGGUCGUUUACUCCUAAUAUGUAAUAUAAAAAUCUCCUCACAAGUGAAAUAUGAUAAACUUUUAAAUCAUGGAUGCUGAGAUAUUUUCAGGAUCAAAAACCAAAACUUGUAGCUUCCAAAAUAACAACAAAUUUUUAUACCGAAUAAUUUAUCACUGCAUAACUUAUUCUAACGUCCAAGUAUGACCAAAAGGAGUCCAGGAUGACACAUAUGUUGGCUUAAAUGAGCCAGCAUUUUGCCUUGUGGCGGGAGGUCAUAUUGGGCUGAGUCAUGUUCGAAAUGGCAUGAGACUGGAUGGGCCGAGUCAUGUUCGAAGUGACGUGAGACUGAUUGGACCGAGUCAUAAUCGAGAUCCGUGGGUGCUGUAUCUAUACGCUUUAAGCGAAUUAGUUGCGUAUUUUUUCCUAGAGAGAUAUUGGUUGCGUAGCUCGAGCUUUUGGGAUUAAUAGUUAGCGCCAACGAUCUGACAACAUAUACCAUAUUCAAUCUCAAAAAUUCGUUUUAUCUGUAUAAGAUAAAUUUACUCAUAAUAAGUGAAAUCUGUUAUUCUACCAAAUCAUGGAUAGAAAAAUAUUUUAAAGAGAUAAAAUCAAACUCGUAACUUUCAAUGACAACCGCGAAUCUUUUUAUCGAGCAAACUAGUACUGAAUAACUUGUUCCGGCAUCCAAACAGGAUCUACAGGCACUUCGAAUGUCGAAAAUCUUUAUAUUGAGCAAGGCCUAAUGGGCCCAUUCAAGCGCUCAAAAAGGCCCAAGGCCUAUGGAAGCCGGAGGAGGAUAGACAUGUGGGGCCCACGACAUCCAAAGAUGAGGACUUGGCUCUGCCACGUCGGAUUAUACGAUAAUUAAAAUUUCACUUAUAUAAAUAUAUUUUUUUGAUAAAUACAACGUUCUCCUAGAAAAAUAGCGGAAAAAAAUAAUAUUUAAUAAUUUUAAAAAAAAAUUCGAAAAAUGGAGCUUUUUUCUCUGCAAUUUUUGACUCCUCCUCUGAGACUGAGAAGAGCUUCUUUGUGUUUGGUGGGAAGAGGCGAAGUUCAUAAACCCAACUCGCUUUUCGGGGAAGCUGUGGCUUUUCCGCGCAGAAGCACGAGGUGCCCAGAUGGGAAAAAUCAUAGCUUUUUCCAUUCAAAUUCUGGUAUUUUCUCCAUUUUUGGGUCUUUUUAUGUAAUAGGUGUUCAUCAAUUUCUAAUUUUUAGAUGAUGUGCAUUUUGGCAUGUUUUACCUGUGAUUUGGUUCUCCUUUCCCAUUUUCUAGGGAUUGGUGUGUUGCCUUUAUUAGUAGCAGCAAUUUUGGUAUGUUAUGCCAAACUGUUAUACUAUAAAAAGUUUGGAGCUUUUGCUGCGGCGAAAAGUAAAAAUGAGAUUUUUAAUGACCAGUGUUUAGUUCUGCUUCUGCUUCUAACUAUCAACUAAGAUCGGGGCCUCAAAAGCAGCAGCUCUAAUUUAAAUUUAAAUUAUAAAGAUACAGAGAGAAAUUUGAUGCAGUGCCUCUUUUUAUGUACUUCUCUAGCUAACAGUACUUCAUCAAACAAACAGUAGUAUGCCAAUGCCAAAGUGUAAGGCCAAAUAUGUCCAGAAGGUCCAAAAGCAGAAGCUCUCAUUUCACUUUGUCACCUGUGUUAUUGUUAUUAAGAAAUCUCACUUGCUAUUCUAUUUGACAGUAGAUUUUUUGGAUACAAAUUGAGAUGAAACUGCAGGAUAGUCAAAUUAAAGCUUACCUAUAUCUUAGAUCUAGGAUAUGUUAGCUUAAAAAAAUAAUAAUAAUAAUUAAGUUGGAUAAUUCUUACUGAUAUCAAGUAUUCAGAACUGCCAAUGUGGUCAGAAACAAAUUGAUCAUGGCAGCAGGACACCUAGUUAGGGCUUUUGCGAGUAACGAUCGAUGUAUAGAUAGCACGCGCGAAGUUAUUCUGAGACGCGCGAAUCAAAUGACACUGUUCACCCCCGUAGGAUAAGCAAGGUCUCCAUGCCAUAGCCAGAUCAAGUGUUUGAACAAACGACGUAGCGCAUCAGUACUAGCGUGUUGUAUUGGCCUAAAGUGCUAUUACAGUUAUACAGAUGUCUUAGAUAUUGCACAUAAUUUUGUCAUAGAAAAGCGUCGAGGCGCAUAUUUUGAACCUUGCUUUGAAUUACACGUAUCGUACCUAAUAUCGUCGCGCUCCCAAAUUUCUUCCAUAGCAUCUGUGAAAGCAUCAUCUGGAUCCACGCUGCCGAGCACGUCAGCAGCAACUAAACAGGAAAUGAGUUCGAAAGAAAAAGAAGUCGUAUUUGUUGCUGGUUCCACUGGCAGAGUAGGUUCGCGGACUGUAAGGUCGCAGAAUCUUACUCCCCUCAUCUUUUAAGUCUCAAGUGGUGAAUGCAUCUAUUCUGUUAGUUUGCUGAACGGUUCAAUUUUCGCCAGAGAGCUUAUUAGACUUGGUUUUCGAGUCCGAGCCGGCGUCAGAAGUUCUCAGAGAGCGGAGCCCCUCGUGCAAGUGAGAGAUCAAAGCUUUUCAAAUUGUCGCCUUUAAUUAGGCGCCAAAAUUGUACUAAUGUUAUCUAUUGUUUCGUGUUUUGCAGAGCGUUCGAAAUAUGAAUUUAGAUUCAGGAACCCCACGUAAGAUUUGCAGUGUUGUUCGUUUGCUCUAGUCGUAUUUGCUUCGUACCGUCAAUAACAUAAAGUAUUUUUGGUAUCUAGACCAGCUGUAGAAAAGCUUGAAAUUGUCGAAUGCGACUUGGAAAACGAAGGUGGGAUAGUACCAGCUAUAGCCAAUGCUUCCGUAGUUAUAUGCUGCAUUGGAGCUAGUGAAAAGGAGGUUUUUGAUGUAACAGGACCGUAUCGCAUCGAUUAUAAGGCUACAAAGAACCUUAUUGAUGCAGGUAAAAUAAAGAUUGUAUAUGCAUAGCUACUUGAUUUCCUGCUACAAUUCAGUGAGAUAAAUUAUGAAAUCGCUGCGCCACUAAAUACUAGCUCGUAUUCGCAAUGCGUCGUAUUCUCGCCUGUUUUCUUACCCCUUUUCUUUUGUGCAGCAACUACCGCAAAAGUCGAUCACUUCAUUUUGCUUACAUCCUUGGGGACGAGCAAGAUCGGCUUUCCUGCAGCCAUUUUGAAGUAAGUGCCAUUUAAGAGCAUUAUUUUGAAGAAAAAACUUGUUAGAAACUACCGUAUUAGCAUGAUGAAUUUUACUGGAAAGAUCUACUUUUUGCGGUAACAAGAAUUUUUGUUCCUUAUUAUCACUAUGUUAUGUUAUAUUAUAGCUUGUUUUGGGGAGUUCUGAUUUGGAAAAGAAAAGCCGAAGAAGCGCUAAUUGCGAGUGGUCUUCCUUUCACAGUAUGUGGUAACAUAGCAUAUUCUGCGAUAAAAUUCGUAUUUCAAAUCAUGCAUAUCGGAGGUUCUUUCGACUGUUCUAACUUCGGUUGUAUAUUUUCUUUGAUAUUCAGAUAGUAAGACCUGGAGGAAUGGAGCGGCCAACGGAUUCUUAUAAGGAAACCCACAACCUCGUACUUGCAGACGAGGACACCUUUUUCGGUGGUCAAGUCUCAAACCUUCAGGUUCACUCUUUUGAUCCCAUUCAAUCCGUGUUAAGGUGCAAUAACGGUAUUUACGAGGUUUAGAGUGCGAGGAUUAUAACAUCAGGUUGCGGAGCUCAUGGCGUGUAUGGCGAAAAAUAGACGGCUAUCAUUCUGUAAAGUGGUCGAAGUGAUUGCUGAGACGACUGCGCCGCUACUACCGAUGGAAGAGCUUCUUGCCAAAAUUCCUUCGAAACGGGUCGGUAUCUUACUCAAACCCUUUCUGCCCGUCAGACAAAAUAGGAACAACUUAAUAAUUUGGUUAAUUUGCUGUUUGUUUUUGAGUAGGACAAUGUCUAUUCAUGUAAAUUCGUCUGCUGUUCUGCGCUUUUCUCAUAAAACGCUUCGUUUUGUAUGUCAGGCGCUGCCAGCUGAACUGGAGCUGAAUUUUGCGCUUUCUUCUGCCGAAGAGAUUGUCAAGGAGAAGCCUAAGGACAGGCCGCUGUCUCCUUAUACGGUGUAUGUCGCUUUCCAACAAUAUAUGUCUGAAACUAUAUAAACCUCAACAAAAAGGAUGAAAAUAAAAAUUGCGCGCAACAAUUUCGUAUUUGCAGGUACGAUGAUCUAAAGCCGCCGACCUCUCCUACGCCUACUAAACCAAGCACGUCAGCUGCGCACGAUCCAGGCUAUAAAGCAAAGCCUCUCUCUCCGUAUACAGCGUAAGCAACACUGUUUAAAAAGAUUGAUCUCUAAAACACAAUUCAGUUGCUGUAUAUAUGUUACUUCUUUUUACGCUUCAUUUUGUCGUGAAAAUUGUUGCUGUUAUCAGACAAGACGGUUUGAAGCCGCCUUCAUCACCGUCUCCUCCCAACUCACCUUCUACCGCGGAUGGCAGUCCUCAGACUAUAACUGCGAAAGAGUCAGAGCCUGCAAAACAGCGGCCUCUCUCGCCGUACACCAUGUAAUACUUCUCGAUCGGUUUUUUUAUAGAGAGAUCUUGCUGCUGCUUUUAAUUUCGUCUCUUAAUGUUCGGAAACAUUCGAUGUUGCGAGCAGGUACGAGGAUUUGAAGCCGCCAUCAUCGCCAGUGCCGUCUGUGCCAAAGUUCUAGUCCAGAUGCAGAUCACCGGCGUGUGCCAUGCGAGAAAUCGGAAUUCAAAAUCGGAAUUCACAGGAUAGAUGUUGGUAAUAUAUAAAUAUAUACAUGUAUGGUCUGUAAAAUUUCGAACAUAACAGCGAGAUUGCUCACGAAUGCUUGGGGAAAAAUUGUUACAUGUUUCAUUGUAAAAGUAUUUUAUUUAAAUUUAAAUAUAUGUUUUGUUUUUUUUUUUUACGGAAAUUUCAUUGUAGUAGUCCAACCUGGUUAGGAAUAUUAGGGGUGGGAACAAGCCGAGCUUGAGCCGAGCCUAUCUUAGCUCAAGCUUGGCUUGAGAUUAAUUUCAAGCAUAAAUUUAAGGUCAAGCUCGGCAUGAAAUUAAUUCGAGCCGACUUUGAGCGAGCCUAAUUUCGACUUGACUGAGCUCGAGUUCCAAACGAGCCACUUGAAAUUUUUAACAUCAUACAAUCUAUAGACUGUAGUUAUAUAUAUAUAUAUAUAUAUAUAUAUAUAUAUUAUGGUCAUGUCAAAAACACCAACAAAUCUCAAUCCUUGCCCCAUUAGAAUGGUGUAUCUUCUUCCUACACUUCUCUCUAAAUCAUGUAGGCUGAGGGGGGCCAUGGCCCCCCUCAACUUUUAAAAUGUUCAUUUGUGGUUCUUAUAUUGCUAAGACUUAAAAGAUAAGAAGUUAUAGUUAAACAAAUAUUAUAAUAGUGGCCUAUAUGAAAAGUUCUUUAGUGUGUCAUGAGGCACAACAUGAACGGCAGAGAGUCAAUCACCACAGAAAAAAGAAAAAAUGAAAUUGCUUGCACCUAAUACACCAUACAUCAUACUCGACGAGAUUCGGAGUAUGUAUAUAUUACAAAUUAAAAUUUAUCCUGUAAAUGUAAUCUGCUUCAUUUGAAAGGUUUUUAUAUGAAAAGUUAUAAAUUAAAAAUUAUAAAUUUUGAGCAUAUAUUAGUUAUCUAGUAGUUCUAAAAAAAACAGCAGUGUAAAAAACUAUAUAUAUAUAUAUAUAUAUAUAUAUAUAGUAGGUCUUGUGUGUUAUUAGGAGCACGGAGGCCUCUGUGCUCCUAAGCCAUUUUUGAUGAUCGGUUUUCGAAUCGACGAUCAGCUCCGUUAGACUUGAUCUAACAUAUUUGAAGUAUCUAGAAAAUAAAUUUUACGAUUUUUCGAUAUUAUUUACCUAGCAAUCAAAAGAAUUCAAAAUCAAUAAUUUUUAAAUUAUUUUCUAGAAACUUCAAAUACGCUAGAUUAAGUUUAACGAAGCCGAUCGUCGAUUUGAAAAUUUCAUCAUCGAAUUGAAAAUUCCAUCAUCGAAAACAGCUCAGGAGUACGGAGGCCUCCGUACUCCUGAGAGCACAGCAAUCCUGAUAUAUAUAUAUAUAUAUAUAUAUAUUACACUAUAAAAUGUAGAUAUCUAAAAAUUAUAGCUUUUGGCCCCUCUACGAUUUGAAUUCUGGCUUCGUCCCUCUCUCUCUUCUUCCUCUUAUAAUCAUCAUUUAGUAAUGUAAUAUUUUAUAUAAUAAUGAAACUUAUAAUAUGUGAUAUGUAUUAUUAUAAUUUAAAUGAGCAUGUAAUGGCUUUUCGAAAGACAUGAAGCCAAUUGGUUGGAGAAUCUUUGCCUUUCUCUCUGUCCUCUAGCUUAGGUGUUGAACCCCUCCCUCAUAUUCCUCUCCCUUAACCUAAAAUUUUAAUUUAAAUGCUAAUAAUUAACUUUUCUAUGAUCAUUAAUAAUUUAUUCAUCAUGCUUGUCAUAUAUUUAUUGUAACAAAUUAGUAUUAUUAUUAUUAUUAUUAUGUCACACCAUACUUAAAUUAAUUAGCUGUUCCAACUCUUUUAUUUAUCGUUUCUUACCAUUACAAAAAUAGAAUACAAAAUGUGGAGGCAUAAUUCGAUUAAUAUUCUAUCUAACGCUAUCUCGGUCGACCAAAGCAAAUUAAGUUUUAUCAAUAUAUUAUAUAUAUAUAUAUAUUUAUAUAUAUGUGUGUGUGUUUGUGUGUGCUGUGUCUGUGUCUGUGUCACGUACAGACAACAACUACAACAAAAACGGUCUAUAGCGACACUUUUAAAUGUGACAUGUCAAAAAAGUGUGCUAGCUAAAAUUACCGACACUUUUAAAAGUGUUGCUAUAUGUGGGGUCGCUAGGUAUAUAGUGACAGUUAAAGAGUGUCGCUAUAAUCUAAAAGAGUGCUACUAAUUUCUCAACACUUAUUUAAGCAUUUAGCAACCACCGAAACUCUAUCUCGUUGGCUGCGGUGGCGGAGGAGGACGACAGUAAAGGCUCUUCGUCUAGAAUUUCAGUGGAUUGAGUGAAGAGAGAAGAAAAGAUGAUAACUGAUUUUUCUUUUUUUUUUCUUUUCUGUUUGUAAUCGGGCCAAAUGGACUGGAUGUGAUGGGUUGAGUAGAGUAAUCUUUUAUUUUUGGUUGGAUUGGGCUUUAUAUUUAGGUAUUAGUAGAUGUGUUUUUAAGUUUUAGCAUAAAUGGGACACUUACUCAAAAGUGUCCCAAACAUGUGUCCCUAUAAUCUAAUUCUGUUGUAGUGAAAAAUUAGUUUAGAAUUUUUUUAAAAAAUAUUUUUAUUUUUUAGAAAAAAUUAUCUACACCUUCUCCCCUCUCGGUGGCAACGUACUUUCAAAAGCAUUAAUUUCGUUGAAGAUAUGGACUUAGAAAACACAAAAAAUUGGUAGACCAAAUCAUGCCGACCAAGCUUGACUUAUUGCAUGGUCAUAGAAAUAUAUUAUCAUGUAUAUAUAUUUAUAAAAACUUUGCAAGAUGAAGUAAUUAAUUUGUCACAAACAUGUCAAAAUCUUAUGUCUCAUCAAAUAUAUAUAUUUCGAGAUGUGAGUUCGAUCUCAUGAUAUAUAUGGCGGCCGUUGCAUAGCGAAUCGUCCUGUGUUGUACAGUUAAAAAAGAAAAUUAAAAGUAAAAUAGGAGUUUAGAUAACCGUCGCUAUAAUAAAUCUUGCACUUAAAAGAUAUUUAAAGUUAAACAAUAACUUGCGAUGCUUUAAAGCAUCAGCAAGAAUAAUCCUAACGCUGGUAAAAGCGUUGGGUAAAGCGUUGUUAAAUAAACAUGUCGGGAUAAAUAUACCGACAUUUUAAUAUAGCGUCAAAAAAUUUUUAUUAGUAUUUGAUAAAAAUAUGUUUAUUGACAACGCACGUUUAAUCAUGGUGUUGGUACGUAUAUGCCAAAUAUAUAUUAAAGAUAUUAAAAUAGAGCGCCAUCUAAAAAUCGUUAUCUAAAAUAUAUUUUGUUGUAGUGCGUAUAUAGCUUAUCAAGUAGCGAAUUGGGUUUUUUUUUUUUUUUGAAUCCAUUCCAAGUAAAUCAAUAUAUCAAGGCCGAGAGAUCAUGUUACAUUUGCUCUUAUUAGUAUAAGUUUUAAUUAGUGCUAAUUAACUUUUGUUGUAUAAUAACAAAAUGCAUGUUAAUUAAGGUGGGUUAAAUUAAUGAUAAUGUGAAGCACUUAGCCAUAUUAUUAGAAGGGAGAAUGCACACCAUGUCAUCAACCACUAUAUGUCAACAACCAUAUUAGCAAGUUAAUCGCUUUCCUUUAAUUAGUCUCAAUCCCCAUUAACAAGUUAAUUGUUUUGUUCUUAUAGAAGGGAUGCAUGAUAAUGACAUCCCAACCAUUCCCUCUUCUUCCUCCACAACCUCUCUCUAUUAAUUUCUUUGUUCUUCUCUCUCUCUCUCUCUCAUCUCUUCCUCUCCACCCUAUAGCAACUCUCUCUCUCCCUCUCUCUCUCUAUAUUUUCUCCUUCUAAAGGAGAUUCAAGCAUGCAUGCAUGGAUGGAUGUAGAUGUUACACAUAUAUGAGGCUAGGUAAGAGUGCGAUGUUGGGGCGGCUCAAUCAAAUGAUGUAUAUGUCUUCAUGAGACUAUCGGAUGAACUUUUAUAUCUGAUUGAGCCGUGCCAAUAUCACAAUUCUUUUCUUGGCCUAUUGCGACUGGCAUAACUAUGCAUACGUGACAUGUCACGAUCUCUUGGAAGGUAUGCAUAUAUAUAUAUAUAUAUAUAAUUUAUCAUUGGUUUGCAUUGACUCGAGAAUCAUUUUGCGCAUGCAAUUAAUCUGGUGUCGCAAAAAGUUUGUAGAUCGACAUAUUAGUGUAGUCAUGAAUAUAAUGGAUUUGAUAUACAAUUUCAUGCAUACUUUUACGAGCUCAUGCCCAUAUAUAGGUGCAAAGCUACUCUAUAAUGCGCGCUUAACGUCUCUUCAUCAUAGUGUUUUUGACGGUUCCGUAGUUUCUUCUCCUCCUUCUCAAUAACACCUCGACAAAUAAUAUAUAUACUCACACUCUUGGUAAGUUUGGUCUUAACUUAAUAAAUUGACAUGAUAGAGCAAGUAGUUUUGAUAGCUUCUUAAAAAGCAUAUUUAUAUAUAUUUAAACAAAUCUCUCUUUUGUUGAUGCACGUAAUUUUUGGAAAUUACACUUUCAUAUGAUGAAAAGAUCUCCCUUAGAAACCGUUUAUAUUCUUCUUUAAUUUUUCUCUUUUUGUGUUAAGCUCUUUGAAAUCCAUGCAUCAUUGAGAUUAAAAAAGACCAUAUUAAUUAAUGAUUUUGUACAUAAUAAUUAAUCUUCUUAAUUAAUUAAGGAAUAAAAGAUUCACUUUGCUUAUCUAUCGGCCGGACUCAACUUUAAAUAGCACAUAUAUAGAUAGGGCUGUAAACGAGCCGAGCUCGAGCGAGCUGGAGCCAGCUCGAGCUCGGCUCGUUGUCUUCUAGGUCGGCUCGUGUUCGGCUCGAGCUCGUGACGAGCUCGAAAACUCUGGCUCGUGAUCGGCUCGAAACUUAAUCGAGCCGGCUCGUGUUCGGCUCGUUAGCUCGUACCUGGUGGCCGAAGCAGAUGNACAGCGAGCUGGAUUGCCACCCCUAUAUAUAGAUGAUCAUGCACUUCAUGUAUUUAUGAAGUUCUCUUCAAAAAGGUAAAAGAAAAUUUCUAUGAACUUAAUAAUACUUUAUUUCCUGCCAAUAUAUAGUUGGUUAUCAUCAUUAGAAAAUAAAACAAACUCAAGCAUCUUAUAAUUUUUAGGCAAAUGAUUCAUAUAUAUAUAUAUCUAGAGUAGGGCUAGAAUACUUAUAAAAGUAUCAUGGGGGUGAUACUUGCGUGUUUUUAGCCCUUGGAUGGAGAGAUGUGAGGUUGAGAUGAUGGUGGUAGGUGGUGGUAGGUGGAAUAGUGUUUAAUCCAAGGGCUAUUAAUAAUCAAAAAGUAGAUCCAAUGGCUUAAAACCUAAUAGCACCAUGAUGGUGAUACUUGUAAAAGUAUCAUAGCUCAACUCUAUAUAUCUAUAUGGUUAAAGGUACAUUUGUUUUUUCUUUGUAAACAGGCCCUACAAUUAUAAGAGGCCUCUAUAUAUAGACAUGUAUAGGCCAUGUCUACUAUACUAUUAUGGGUAUUGGAGCCAUCGUACUCAUAAGUUGUUUUUAAUGAUGGAGCUUCCGAAUCUACGAUCCAUUUCGUUAAAUAUGAUCUAGAGUAUUUGAAACUUCUAGCCCCCGUUUGGUUCCGGGUUAAGAAAAAAUAGCUAUUCCAGGGAUAGGGUUAAGUUCAGGGUUAAAAUGGUGUUAAAGUUUUUUUGUGUUUGGUUAGAGGUUGGAGUUAGUCUAGAAUAGUGAAAAAAAGUGUUUGGUUGGAGUAGGUGGGAUAAGAAGAUAAUGAUUGAUAAAGAAGAAAAAGGUAAGAGCUCGGGAUGCGUGCGGGGUUAAAGUUGGGAGGGGGAGUGGGGUUAAUGAUUGAUAAAGAAGAAAAAGAUGAGAGCUCGGGAUGCGUGCGGGGUUAAAGUUGGGAGGGGGAGUGGGGUUAAUGAUUGAUAAAGAAGAAAAGGUGAGGGCUCGGGAUGCGUGCGGGGUUAAAGUUGGGAGGGAGAGUGGGGUUAGUAAACCCCACUAACCCGGUUUGGGGUGGGGUUAGUAAACCCCACCCCAAAAGAGUGGUGUUUGGGUAUAAAUUGGGGGUUAAGGGGUGGAAUAACAACCCCUUAACCCCCAACCAAACGGUGGCCUAGAAAAUAAAUUUCGUAAAUUUUCGAAAUCAUAAUAAAAUCCAUCAAGUGGGCAUAAAAUGAACGGUCAAAAUCGAACGACGUCCUAAAAAAGGAUGAUCGGAUCCUUUAAUUCAAGAUCGGAGUUAUUGAUCUUUAUCUAUAGAGUGAAUAGACUUUUCUAUCAAAAAUUCAACAAAUUUCGAUUCUUUUACACCGUUAAACUAGCAAGUAUCCCAUACCGGCCGUUAAAAAUUGUCAAAUUUGUGACCUCUUGAUCGUAAGGUAAAUGAUGUCGAAAAAUUAUAAAAUUUUAUUUCUAGAAGUUUUAAAUACUGUAAAUAACGUUUAACAGGUAUGGAUCGUCGAUUCGGAAGCUCUAUCAUCGAAAACAACUUAUGAGUACGAGGGCGAUCGUAUUCAUAAUAGUAUAGUAGCCGGACCAUACAGAUAUAAUGAAUAGAUUAAAAUGUUUGGAAACCAACCUCAACUUUGAAUAAUUUGGAAUUAAACAAUCUAUCAAAUCCUUAAAAAAAAAAAAAAAAUUACUUUGUCACCCUGCAUUUAUAGCUAUGAAAACUAUUGCGUGCACCCGGUGCACAUUCGUGAAUCACAAUACUUAAUUAGAAGCACGACUGCAUAGGGGGGUACGGACGCCCGAAAUUUUAUUCGAAUCCAAAUCCGAACAAGGGUGGUUUAUCAUAUGCUAAAUGGAUAUGGUUUCAGAUAUGAGUAUAAAAAAUAAAAAUCCGACCCGAAUCCAAACCCAAACCCGAUUAGAACCCUAAUAGAGUUUACGUUAUAUAAUAUACAAGAAUGUUUGAUGUUAUAUUUGAAUUUAUAUUUUAAAAUUUUAGAUUUUAAUGUAAUCUAUUUUGAUAAAGGGAAGUAAUUAAUUGUUUCGGUUUCGGAUUCGGGCUUCAGAUUUUUGGUUGUGAUUCGGUUUUAAAUAUGAAUUCUCAAAAUCCGUCGGGUUUGGGUUCAAAUUUCAAAUUUGGGUGUUGGAUUCGGGUUUGGGUUUUGAAAAAAUCCAUUCCGAAUCCAACCCUUUAACAUCCCUUGACUUGUGUCAAGGACAAGUUGAAAUAAUAUCUCACUGCGCAAAUUAAUCAAGUGAUUUCAAAGGGUAGGUAACUAACUGGAAAUUUUUUCUAUGUUGCGUGGUGGUCUGCAAAUGACUUGUAGAACACAUUUGUAAGUUAGCUAAAACUAUAUGACACGUGACAUAUCUAUCUUCGAACUUUAAUUUAUUAUUAUUUUUUAUCUCAAAUUUUGUAUGUUAUUAUAAUCAAAUCCCACAAUAUAAUUGAGUUGAUUUAAUGGCAAUAAUGUAAAAAGUUUGGGUCAGAAAUUGCAACUGAUUAGAGCGCGAGAACUGACGUGGUCAUAGUUUGGGGACCAAAGGUGCAGUUUAGUGUUAUAAUUAAUAUUGUGCCGGUCAAUUUUCAAAGUCUUGGCAAUUGAUAUAGAACUAAUUAAUUAAUCAGACGAUUAAUUAAAUUGAAGAGUUAAUUAAUUAGUUAAUUAGGUGAGCGCAUUCUCUUGACCAUUAGAAUUGCCAAAAUGCCUCUUGUGACGCCCCGACUUCCCAGGGAGUCAUCCAUCCUAGGACUACUCCCGUCCUAGCACGCUUAACUCUCUUAACCUCUUGGGUCUAGCCACCACCCAAAAUGCUUAAGCCGGGUUAAGAGUUUAGCCCUAUUAUAUCUUAUAUAUGUAACGUGUUACAACAAAUUACAGUUUGUAUGGGAACAGCCUUUAGAAAGUUACACAAGAAACCACCUGCAUAGAAAUAAAAUGGCUGGCUUAAAUCAUACAUCAGAACACGGAAAUAUAUGAAACUUGAAUGACCAACCAGUGUCAAGAUAAAUACAAUAAGGAAAUACAAACAAAAGUUACAAAAUACAAUGCAGCCUGAGUUAAUAGGCACAAAUAUUAAUGUUUCCAAAUGUUGCAGAAUUCCAAACAUCAAUUCUCAGCGACCAUCCUUCUGAAGAAUAAGGUUCACGAAUUCAGAAGAAGGUUCACGAGUUUGCAUAUGCAGUAGCAUAUUCAGGCAGCUGAUUUUUGGGUUGCAUAGCUUGCAUCCGCUAGUGAUCUAGUCCGCCUAUGACCAGUACAAGGCCAAGUCAUGCAUUUGCCAAUAGUACAAGAAAAUGCAAGUGAAAACACAAAAUAGAGAUGGGCUGCUUAAAACACUUGACAUGAACAUUUUAGCCUAAUUAGGAUAAUUUAAUUAUAUUAACUUGCUGGAACUAUCGCAAGGAACUUUGUUCAAUUAUAAUUACCUAAUAAAUAUACGUAAGGUUUUAAAAGCCAUUCUAAGUUUUUCAUAUUAGUUCCUUUGUAUGUUCUCUGCUUAACCAACUAUAGGAUCUUACAUUUUUGCCGCACUUACAACAGCAAUGCGGACAUAUGCACCUCAUUUUUAAGAGUUAUCCAUCCCUCAUAUUUGUUUAUCGUUCACCUCAUUGUUUGUAACAAUGACAAACUAGUAGUAACACCCGGAACACAGCAAACCACAGGAUUCCCAUUAAUUGGAGGAAAGUGAAAUUAGGCAUUAGGUCGACAGUAAGAGCAUUCCAUAACUGAUUAUUUAACAGGCAAACAUGAAUCAAACUAGGUUCACAGCUAAAUGCUAAGUAAUGACAUAUAAUGUGGAAUUAAUUGAUAUCCAGAGAGAGAGAGAAUUUCUUGCAGCAGUCUCGGAAAAGUUUGAUUUUUAACAGCGAAAAGGGCUUCAUUCAUUGCAAAACGCAAUGGCCACAGUCCAUCUCACUGACCCUCACUAGGAGGAACCUCAUCGAAGCAUACAUUACAAGUGAUGGGGCAUGGCGAACUUGACAAGACGCGACCUUUAUCUCGAUAGCGGACACUCCGGCCUCCAAGAACAACCUCUCUCUCCCCUUCACUUCCAGCAACUCAAAAAUCCGUUCCACGUCCACCGGUAAUGGAUCAACAGCGUCGAGCAUGCUGCUCCUCGAAGAGCAAGCAACUCAUCACCUUCCUCAGAUCCUCCCUCUACAGGAAACCCAAGGAACACCAAAUUUACCAAUUUAAACCUAAUGCACACAACCAAACACACCAAUUCGCACAAAAGUGCUGCAUUAAUUACCUGCGCGGCCAAAAGGGACUCUUUGGUGAUAACCUGCGAUCAAAUUAGGGCAAAAUCAGGUCCCGGCAAAAGGGAUCAAAUUAAACUCGAAAAUUAGGGCCGAAAACAAGAUCGGCGAACGGGAAAAUCGAGGGGCGGGGACGAACACGGACCGAUGACACGGACCAGUGGCACUCCUCCUCGCCCCCGUCCGCGAGGACGUCGAGCACCGUCUCCUCCGCCGGCGUCGUCAUUAUCGCUAAAGUAGUACUCCGCCUCCUCCGCCGUCUCCGAUUCCUCCUCCUCCGCCGCGCAUCUUCCUCUUCCUCUUCCUCUUCCUCUUCCUCCUCCGCCGCGCGCGCCGCCGCCGACGCCGACGUUCGAGAUCGCUCGACGAGGCGGGAUCGUCGUCGCUCGCCAUGGGAGCGAUCCGAGCGAAAGGGAUCAAAGAGGGUCGACAGGGAUGGGAUCGAAUUGGAGAGAGAGGGGAAAAAGAAGCUUUCGUAGGGUUUGAUGAGGAUUGGCGACGGCGUAGCUCCCUUGGGUAGGGGUUCUUCUCUCUUCUCUCUCUCUCUCUCUCUUCUCUCCUCGCUCUCACCUCACUUUUUUUUUUUUUCUUUCUUUUACCUGUAACUUUUGUUUUUAUGUUUUUAAUUUAAUUUAUAUUUAUUAAUAUUUAUAAUAUUUUUUUUUAUUAUGAAUUCCGACAUGGAUCGGCGUACGAUUAGAAUCGAUUGGCUCGGGCUAAAAGGUUAACCCAACCCUGUAACGUACAUAGAGGGCGAAAAAGGACGAAUACAUGAGGAUAGUGACAAAAUCAUUAUUCACUUUUUUUUCUUUCGUUUUGGGAUGUGAAUUGAAUUUGGAUUUCGAUAUACGAUAGAUUAGGGAUUAAAAAUUAUUGAUUUUGAAUCCUUUUUGAUUGCUAGAUAAAAUAUUAAAAAAUUAAAAAUUUAUUUUUAAAUAUUUUAAAUACGCUAAAUUAAGUUUAACAAAAUCGAUUGUCGAUUCGAAAGCUCUAUUAUCGAAAAACGGCUUAGAAGACAUUUGAGGCCUUCGUACUUCUAUAUAAUAUACAAAAGUAGCUCUCUCUCUCUCUCUCUCCCUCUCUCUAUCUUAUAUAUCAUAUAUAUUAUUACCUUUAUGAGUAUAGACCCCAUAUAUUUAUAAAUUUUAAUCGUUGAUUGAUGAAAUGUUAUAGUUAGGAUGAUGGUGGUCCCCCAUUAAAAUGAUAGUGGUUCUCUAGGGUUGAGUGGAUAGUUAGUUAAAUUGAUUAUGCUAACGGGUAAAAUAUCAAUAUAAUUAAAUUAAGGGCAGAAGACUUACGAGUUAAUAAAGGAGCCAAUACUCUAGCGGACUAAAAUUAUAUAUAUAUAUAUAUAUAUAUGUGUGUGUGUAGAGCUACUAUGCUACGGAAGCAUAGAAGAUUGAUGCUUCCAAUUUUUUAACCCUUGGAUAAAAAUUAUAGGUUGGGAUGAUUGCGGUCCCCCCAGUAUUGAGUAAUAUCCCUAGGGUUGAGGGUCCCCACAGGGUAAUAGUGUUAAUUCAAAAUUAGAAAUGAUCAAAAGGGUUGAUCGAAGGGCCAAAAAAUAGGAGCACCAAUAUAUAUAUAUAAUAGUACGGUUGGUGCGAUACUAUCGAUAGCACCAAGGAUUUGGUUAACCAUUUGAUUAUUUUUAUCGUCAAAUUAUACUAUUCACAACCACCUCACUCAACCCUAGGGGGACCACCUCAUCAAAACCACCAUAUUUUUUAAUCCAGCGCGUUAAAAAAUUAAUAGCAUACCAAUAGCUUGAUGCUAUUGUGUAUUUCACUUAGAGUUCUAUAUAUAUAUAUAUAUAAAGGAGUUGCUAAAUCUCUACAAUAAUACUAUAGCAUAAUUACAGAAGGAAAAACAAGCAACUCACUCCAACACUCACAAGAAAUAAUUGAAGUAUCCACAAUCUUAUCUUUAAGUCUGGUCGAGAUCUUCACUGUCGGGGCGACCAAACUCUGGCUUCUAUUACUUUCUCACGAGAACAGAAUGUCGAGUCUCUAAGUAGACUGAGCACCCUUGCGGCGCCAAUGCUUGCUUCUGCGAUAGACAUCUUUGUAUAAAAAGAAAAAAGAAAAGAAAAAUUCAAAUCCUUUAAUCUAGAAUAAUACAGUAGUACGAUAUGUCGAGGGGCGCUUCAAAUAUGACUCGUGGGUGUUUAUACUUUUUCAUUUUAGUAUUAUAUAUGUGAGUUUAAAAUAUAGUCAACUUUAAUAUCCAUGUGGUUAAUUUCAUUUUUUUUCGUUUUCGUCGAGCUUUUCGUAAUUUUUUCGCUUAAAUUUAUAUACAAAAACUUCAGAUACCCCACCUGAUAAGUUAUCGAAAUAUUUACUUAUAAUACCUUUAGUUUUGUACUGUUAUAUACUGAAUUUACGAAAAAAAUUAGUGGAAGCGGAUAACUAAGAAAAAUAAACAAAAAUGAAAAACACAUCAGUACUAUCUAAUUGGUACACCUUUAAAAUCAGAUAGCGCCACUAAAGUAAAGCGAAACACGGUGUGGUAUUUUGAACUUUCCCAUUAAUUAUCUCUCACUAAGAUCAAGAAAAAGUUCAUUAAGAAUGUUAGAGAAUUAAAGCAAAUUAGAUUUGUAAGUAACGUUAUUAGUACUGUUGUGGCUAUUAUAGUACAUAUAUGGGAUUGACAUAUUAUCCUUGCUUGGCAAUAUUUCCCAUAGAAAACCUAAUUAAACUGCUGAACAUUUGAGGAUUUGAGCCCAAAGGUGAUUAGAGAGAGUUCGAUAGUGGUUGUUGUGACUACAAAUUCUAAGGGCAUUAAAAUUAGUUCGGCUUGGUUCGAUUUUUACGUUGAUUUCAAACUAAACUAAAAUUUUUGGCUUGAAAAAAUCAGCAACCUUAGCCAGGCCAAUUUAUUGUGGAACCGAUGCAAACCAAACAUAUUAAUUGGUUUGGUUCGCGUUUCACUAGCGGAGAGUAUUAGAAUUUUUAUUUUUCUUAUAAUAAUUCUGUAGUAUCCUUAGGUUUUUUGGGUUGCUUGUGGAUUUCAGCAUCUGAGAUUUGGCGACAUAUUUGAGAGAAGUGUCGGACACAGUCGGAAUCGUUGGCGAAAUUGACGCAAAACGGAACUCAAACGCUGAGGCACGACGAGUAUGAGUUCUUGAUGCUGAAAUCACAAAGUGGAGGAUUUCAGUGUUGAUGUCCGGGUUGGCAUAGGACUGGUACCGAUCCCUGUAUGCGGCUUGCGGGCUGAAGAGGUCGAGUACCUGUAACCAAACGGAAAGUACCGAUACUCAGCUGUCAUGUGAGUUGGUAGGGUAUACGGUCUUUUUGUGUUGGUGGUUGAUCACCACACCAAACUCUCCCUCGUACUCCCUCGUAUUUAUCCAUCUGAGGGAGAGUAGCUUACUUAAUUGGAGUUCCUCUCUUCUUCUCAGUAUUAAUCUAUUUGCUUGGUGGAGCCACGUCUUGAGCUCGGAUCGACGUCGACGUUGCGCCGAAGCCGUUCGAGCCAUCGUGCGUUUGCGGUUGCGCUGUUGGAAACCGGGCGACCCGCGCGUGAUUUCCUCUCCUUUCGACUUCUGCCGUUGUUGCGAUUAGCAUUUCGAGGUGGGUCUGGAAGUUUAGACCGAGCAACCGUCGUGAAUAUCUUUUAGUUUUAGCAUUUGUCGACAUGUUCAUUCGUUUAUCUCUUAUAUUACUCAAUUCAUGGUUAGUGCUUUAAAUCUGAAUUUGAGUUAAUGCUAGUAGUUUUAAUUUUACAGUUGGACUUGAUUGACUUAAGAGAAAACUAUAAAGAUCUUACACUGUUUUUCUGAAAAUAUUCAUAUUUAUGCUUUAAGACCUGUGGUUUGUUUGUAUCGCGCAGUUUGUAUUGCGGUGCGAUAUCCAGAUCAGUGGCAAUGAGUUUACGCUCCGUGCUGGACGAGCCGAGUUCUAUUUCUUACAGUAGUCGUGUAGACUAUUGGGACUGUACGAUGUACUGUUGCGCGGGACCGCUGGAUCCAGAAUUUACGUUAUCUGCAUCAGAUUGUGCCCGAGGGCACCGUGAAGUUUUGGUGUCAGACCAGUUUGAUCCAUUUAUUUUGAUUACAGUCUAUGAGAGCCCUGAUUGAGCUCGGCAGAGACACGCUUGAUAUUCAGUUGGGUAGCGCCCACGAGUGCCACUUCCGGAGUCGGCUUAGUGCUUUUGCGUUAUUAUCGUAGUGUUCUGGUUGAACUUGCUCUACACCAACCAACCAGCGUGGUGGGGUUGGUGUAGCUUCGACGGCGGGACGGGUGUGUUCAUAGUCCUAAUGAGAUUGGGUCAGAGAUUGCAUCUUACUUAUAUUACAGAUAGCUAGUCUUGGUUAACGGCAGUUAUAGUGGCAUGUAGCUGUAGAGUUUUUUCAGCUUUCUUUAUUAUCCUUUAGCAUACUUUCUGUAGACUUAGUGGCUGUGCAGCUGUUGAUUAUCGUAGCGGUACCAACUGAGGACUAUUCUUUUUGCAGUAGCUUUCUCACACUCAGUUAUUGACCCCUUUUUGCAGAGUCUUCGUCCGCAGCUACUGCUGUUGUUGAUUUGGAUCGUGGAAAGGGAGUCGCGAGCUAGAUCCCUUCCAGUUCUUGUUGCUGUUUAGAGGAGUACCAGCUACAGGAUAGUUUUGAUUUUUGGUUCAUGUACAUACUGAUGUUAGAAACUCGCAGGAGCGAGUGAUGUCGGUAUCUUGGAGACUGUGUAUGUAUAGUGAAAUCUGAUGUUUAUUUGUAUAUGUUUACAGUUCUUUUAGCAGCUCUAUACUAUGGUUGUUGUUUUGUAUGAUUAACAUGUAUGAUGCACAGUACAGUUAUCGCUUCGGAUACAGAGAAAAUUUUUGUAUACGGCGGGUCUGUUGGCGUGCCCGGAGAAACGUGAUACAUCCGGGGCGUGACAAAUUCAUACUUUAAGAAUCAAAUUUUGAAUCAUUCUCAUCAUAAAUUAAUUACGGAAUUUUCAAAAGUGAGUUGUGAUAAAGAGUAUCAUUAGUGUUAAGUCGCAUCAGAGUGGAAUCCUAGUGUUAAUUUUGGAUCACAAUGGUCCCUUCGAAAAGAAUGUUAGUGUUGAGUCUGCAUCAGAAAACCACUUGGACUGUACAUGUCUUUUUUCACUGAAUGUGGGAGAGGAGAAGAAAGUAAUUUUGACUGUAAAAGUUAUUUUUGUUGUUGGUUUGCCGUAACUUCACCAUCGUCGAAACUCAUACUCCCCGAAACAGCAUAACGGCUUCCGCCCCACUGAAAGCCGAAUGUCAAUUACGGAAAAAGAAAAUGAGAAAAUAAUAAAUAUAAAUCCAUCUACUUCCUGUUAAAUAAACAGUAAACACACGAUGAACUUUAAGUUCAUAGCUAUACAAAUCAACCGCAAAAGAAAAGCAAUGUUUACGUGACAACUCUACUUGAGACCUGCUAAAUCUACUUCAAACUUAAACUGAUUUUCAGCAAAGUAAACAGCAUCUAGGCACAAGUCCAGUGUGCAGAUUUGUUGCCUCUACUUCAACAAGAAGCACCAUAUAUGUAAGUGUGACAAUUAAUGUUCAACACACAAGGUGAAUGUUAUUUAGAGUUGAGCUAGAAUGCUAUCAGUAGCAAACUGGCUUCGUUGCCACCCAUUUGUUUUCGAUAAUAGAAUCUUUAAAUUGACGAUCGGCACCAUUGAACAGGAUCUAUACCACUUGAAGUAUCUAGAAACCAAAUUUCAAAUCAUUUCGACAUCAUUAACCUAAUGAUCAAAGGUUUCAAAAUUUAUAAUUUUAAUGGUAGAUAUCAGGCGUUUUCUCGUUUAACGGUGUAAAGCUAUCCAAAUCAAUUGAAUUUUGGUUAGAAAAUUUUUAAACUAUUUAGAAUAAGAUCUAUACUCUCGAUCUUGAUUACAAAAUUGCUAUCAUCAUAUUUUUAGAGGAUAUUCAUUUUCAGCUGUUCAUUUUUACGCCACCCUACUGAUGGACAGAGAAUAUAGGAAAAGUAUUAAAAUUUGAUUUCUAGAUACUUCAAGUGAUAAGAUCAUAUUUAACGUACCGUCGUCGUUUGAGGCUCAUCAUCGAAAACAAAUGGGUGCGCAUGGCCGUUUGCAUACCGAUAGUAUUCUACGCUCAACUCAUGUUAUUUAAUAGACAUUUAUGCAUUAACUCAAGAAUUUUAAUUUAGAGAACAGCAUGAGAAAAUUUUCGAUAAUCUAUCAAAUACAAAUCUAGUUCAUUUAGUUUUAAACCACAUCAUGAAUCAUAUUAAUCAUGCGUGAUAAGCAAUUCACACAUUUUGAUGCCAAUUUGGCUGCCAAGCAACAUAGAACGUCUAAAAAUGCUUGCCCAACAAAAACAAAAAAAGGCUACAAUUGUUGUGUGAGAAAUGAAAAUGUUAGUAUGUAAACUGCAUAACUAAAAUUAUAAAAGGAUAAAUAUCUAGAGGUUAAUCUCAAAUAGACGGUGUGACGACCCAGAUACGUCCUAUAUACUAGAUAUAAUAGGGCCUAAACUCUUAACCCGGUUCACAGCAUUUUGGGUGGUGCCUAGACUCAAGAAGUUAAGAGAGUUAGCGGCUAGGACGGGAAUAGUCUAGGCUGGGGGACUCCCUGGGAAGUCGGGGCCGUCACAGCAUGGUAUCAAAGCCAAUUACAGCCGCAAGUGCUGAGAUGAUCUCGGCUGAGCCAUGGGUUGGAUUGAGGCUAGCGAGACGAUGUCUAACAUCGCUGGGGUACUUGUGAGGUCUGAGCUGACGAGGACGUCAAGGGCUAAGGGAGGGAGUUGUGAAGACCCCAGAUAGUCNNNNNNNNNNNNNNNNNNNNNNNNNAUAGUAUAUUUAUUAUAUAUAUAUAUAUAUAUAUAUUAUAAUAUAUAUAUAGAGUCCGCUACUAUACUAUUGAUGGUACCAAGCCUUUGGUUGACUAUAGAAUUUUCUACCGUUAGAUCUACCCUGUGAUCAUUUCCACCCGUUAGAUUAUACUAUUAAACCAACCACCCACUCAACCCUAGGGACCACUAUCAUCCUAACCGCACAUUCUUCAUCAACGGCCAAAAACUACAUAGUACCAAGGACUUGGUACUAUUAUAGUAUAGGAGCAUAAUUCUAUAUAUUAUAAUAUUGAUUAGGUCUUGUGUGCUCUCAGGAGCACAUAGCUCUCCGUGCUCCUGAGCUGUUUUCGAUGGUGGACUCUCGAAUCGACGAUCGGCUCCGCUAGACUUGAUCUAGCAUAUUUGAAGUAUGUAGAAAAUAAAUUUUGCGAUUUUCGAUAUCGUUUACUUAUGAUCGAAAACAGCACCUAUGCUUUUGAAAGUACCAAGUCAUUUGGUGCUUGUAAGUUUUCGCCCUGGAUUAACGGAUGUGCGGUUUAGGAUGAAUUGGCCCCCCAGGUUGAGCGGGUGGUUGGUUGAAUAGUAUAAUCUAACGGGUAAAAAUGAUCAAAGCAGAGAUCUAAUGAUAAAAAUUUACAAGCACCAAGUGCUUGGUACUUUACAAGCACCAUAGUCGGACUCGUAUAUAUAAUAUAUAUAUAUAAUAUUAUAUAUAUAUAUAUAUAUAUAUUUAUUUAUUUAUUUAUUAUAUGAUGAGAGGGUGGUCCACCGUGACCUCCCUCUCAUCCGGUCCACGAGGUCACUGGCCUUGUGGACCGCGCACACCGCUGCUCCCUCCGCCGCAACACCUCACCAUUUCUCCCUCCGCGCACAACACCGCACCCUCUUGCUCCCGGCACUGUACGGCGUUGGGGGACGCAGCGGACGACCUCGGCGAGACAGGAUGGUCGUUGCGGCCCUCUUGCGCUCGGCACCGGCAAGCUGCGCGGAAGGAGAGGGACGACGAGAGCGGCAAGUGAGCGAUGGGAGCGAACGAAGAGGAAGAGGAGGUAAUGCGAAGGGGGAGGAGGAGGUGGAGAUCCCUCGCCAUGGAUCCUCCUUUCUCAGGUGGGUUCCCUCUUUUGAUCUCCCUCUUUUGUGGGUUUUCGUGUGGAUUUUUAUGUAUUGAUGCAUUUUUUUUGAAGGGGUGUGGAUCGCAUCUGGGCGGUUUGGAUUGAGGUGAGAGAAAAGGGUUCAACUGGGUUGUCUUGAAAUUGAUUUUAAGGGUUUUAAUGUGUUAAUUAAUUUUGGUGUUUAUCUUUUGGGAUUGUUGAAUUGGUGGCUUGUGUUGGAGGUAGUGUGGGUGUGGUGGUCGAGAGGAGAUGAGGCGAGGUGGAGGCGGAGGAGCCGGCGUCGAGGUUGGCGGGGUGUGAACGGCUAGCGACCAAGUUAGGAGAGAAAGAAGGAUAGCUUAAGGGAUUAGUAUAAUAAGGUAGGGGAAAAUAGUUUUAUAUAGGUUUUAAUUAGUAUUACAUAUAUAUAUAUAUAUAUAGAAUUAUGCUACUAUACUAUCAAUAGUACCAAGCCUUUGGUACUAUUGAGUUUUCGGCCGUUGAAUGAAAGGAUGUGCAGUUAGGAUAAUAGUGGUUCCCGGUUAAAUUGAUAGUGGUCCCCCUAAGGUUGAGUGGGUGGUUGGUUUAAUAGUAUAAUCUAACGGGUGAAAAUAAUCAAAGGGUAGAUCUAACGGUAGAAAACUCAAUAGUACCAAGGGCUUGAUACUAUCGAUAGUAUAAUAGCCGGACUAUAUAUAUAUAUAUAUGGUGCUUCCUAUUUUUUGGCCCUUCGAUCAACCCUUUGAUCAUUUCUAAUUUUUGAAUUAACACUAUUACCCUGUGGGGACCCCUCAACCCUAGGGAUAUUACUCAAUACUGGGGGGACCGCAAUCAUCCCAACCAUAUAAUUUUUUAUCCAAGGGUUAAAAAAUUGGAAGCAUCAAUCUUCUAUGCUUCCGAUAGCAUAGUAGCUCUACACACACACACACAUAUAUAUAUAUAUAUUUAGUCCAUCUAGAGUAUUGGCUCCUUUAUACUCGUAAGCUUUCGGCCCUUAAAUUUAUUAUAUUGAUCAUUUUCACCCGUUAUAUCAUACUAUUUAACUAACUAUCCACUCAACCCUAGGGGACCACUAUCAUUUUAAGUGGGGACCACCAUCAUCCUAACUAUACAUUUCAUCAAUCAACGAUUAAAAAUUUAUAAAUAUAUGGGGGUCUAUACUCAUAAGAGUAUAGUAAUAUAUAUGACUAUAUAUAUAUAUAUAGAGAGAGAGAGAGAGAGAGAGAGAGAGUACCUUUUGUAUAUUAUUAGAAGUACGAAUGCCUCUAUGCUUCUAAGCCGUUUUCGAUAAUAGAGCUUUCGAAUCGACAAUCGAUUUUGUUAAACUUAAUUUAGCGUAUUUAAAAUAUUUAAAAAAUAAAUUUUUUAAUUUUUUAAUAUUAUUUAUCUAGCAAUUAAAAGGAUUCAGAAUCAAUAAUUUUUAAUCCCUACUCUAUCGUAUAUCGAAAUCCAAAUUCAAUUUCACAUCCCAAAA
rnacentral:lncRNA from 1 species